rnacentral:rRNA from 1 species
GACGAACGCUGGCGGCGUGCUUAACACAUGCAAGUCGAACGGAAAGGCCCUGCUUUUGUGGGGUGCUCGAGUGGCGAACGGGUGAGUAACACGUGAGUAACCUGCCCUUGACUUUGGGAUAACUUCAGGAAACUGGGGCUAAUACCGUAUAGGAGCUCCUGCUGCAUUGUGGGGGUUGGAAAGUUUCGGCGGUUGGGGAUGGACUCGCGGCUUAUCAGCUUGUUGGUGGGGGAGUGGCUUACCAAGGCUUUGACGGGUAGCCGGCAUGAGAGGGUGACCGGCGACAUUGGGACUGAGAGACGGCCCAGACUCCUACGGGAGGCAGCAGUGGGGAAUAUUGCACAAUGGGCGGAAGCCUGAUGCAGCAACGCCGCGUGCGGGAUGACGGCCUUCGGGUUGUAAACCGCUUUCGCCUGUGACGAAGCGUGAGUGACGGUAAUGGGUAAAGAAGCACCGGCUAACUACGUG